rnacentral:rRNA from 1 species
UAGCCUUGACAUACCAAAAAGAUUUCAGAGAUGAGAUUGUGCUAGUUUACUAGAAUUUGGAUACAGGUGCUGCACGGCUGUCGUCAGCUCGUGUCGUGAGAUGUUGGGUUAAGUCCCGCAACGAGCGCAACCCUCGUCCUUAGUUGCUAACAGUUCGGCUGAGCACUCUAAGGAGACUGCCUUCGUAAGGAGGAGGAAGGUGAGGACGACGUCAAGUCAUCAUGGCCCUUAUGGCUAGGGCUACACACGUGCUACAAUGGAUAAGACAAAUAGUCGCAAUACCGCGAGGUGGAGCAAAUCUAUAAACUUAUUCUCAGUUCGGAUAGCAGUCUGCAACUCGACUGCUUGAAGCUGGAAUCGCUAGUAAUCGUAAAUCAGCAAUGUUACGGUGAAUACGUUCCCGGGUCU